UACGUAGGUGGCGAGCGUUGUCCGGAUUUACUGGGCGUAAAGGGAGCGUAGGCGGACUUUUAAGUGAGAUGUGAAAUACCCGGGCUCAACUUGGGUGCUGCAUUUCAAACUGGAAGUCUAGAGUGCAGGAGAGGAGAAUGGAAUUCCUAGUGUAGCGGUGAAAUGCGUAGAGAUUAGGAAGAACACCAGUGGCGAAGGCGAUUCUCUGGACUGUAACUGACGCUGAGGCUCGAAAGCGUGGAGAGCAAACAGGAUUAGAUA
rnacentral:rRNA from 1 species